AGUGAGGCGCUUACUUUGCAUGAUGAGCAAAUCUCCAAUAUUGAAGAUUCACAAAUUGUAUUAUCUCCUCAUCCAAUCCCCGGUUCUAGUGAGGCACUUACUUUGCAUGAGGCAUUAUAUUUAAAUAAAAUUUAUAUAAUGACUUUUGAAGGGAAUAAAUUAUGAGGAUAUUCAAAGUCCAAGUCUUAUUCAGCUAUACAAAAAAAAGGAACCAAAUGACCCUUUUCACUUUAUAUUAUUUAGGAUGACAAAUAUUUUGAUAAAUUUCAUAAUUGCUGUAGGCCCUUGUCAGCCAUGUACAAAUAAAUUUCAAUAUCCUGUUACUAACAAGAGGAGCAUGAAUAUAACCUAUUAUAGAAAGGUUAAUAUAGAUGGUUCCCUCAACCCCAGAAAUUGGCUAUCUUAUAGCACUACUUUAGACAAAGUCUUUUGUCUAUAUUGUAUUAUGUUUGGUGGCCCUAAGUCCAAUACUUUUUGGACUCAACAUGGGGUAAAUAAUUGGAAAAACAUAAAGCGUGACUUAGAGAGACACGAAUCAUCUUCUCUUCAUAAAGAUUGUGAAUAUGCAAACAUGACUUGGCUUGCAAAUAAACGCAUUCAAGAUCAUUUGCUAUCAAAUAAGCUUGA